AUAUAUGGGUGGUUUUCAAAAUAAUGAAGCUUUUUCUUCUCUCUCACCUUACUUUAAUUCAGUUCAGUUUUAGAAUGUGUUUUUGGGCAAAUUAUAUCCAAAUCAAUGUAGUCAAUAAAUGUGUGCAAUUUUAUCUUGAUAGCUCAAGCAGUUUUAAAGUUAUAUUAAAUUAUAUAGCUAAUUUUGUCCCCUGUGCACCCAAAAAAGUGUGACAUUUUACAUGAAGUAUAGUUUUCAACUAUGGCUUACUUUUUAAAACCAUGAUUUACUGUUACAGCUUUGGCCUUUUUAUGUAACUUAAACUCUGAACAUUUAAAUAAAAUACUUCUUUUCAUUACCUACAUCUUACUGUUACCAAUAUUUCACAUCUUGUGAAGGAACCCCCUUCACAAAAAAUAGUGAAAAAAAUACUAAAUUUAAAUGUUGAACACUACAAUUUCAUAAUCUUAUUACUUUUCUAAAGUCUUAAUGUUUUUCUAAGAUCUUUAUCCUUUCAGCUGUGAAGACACAGUAUGAUUUUUUUUCUUUUAUAGCUCAACUUUCUCAGAAACUUGAUGGGUGUCUAUACACCUAAAAAUGUCCCCUGUGCACCUUUUCAGUUGUUAAGUGCCAGAUUGCUUUUAUUCUUUAAUUAAAAUGGCAUUUUACUUUAAUUUCCUUGGAAGGGAGUUACAACAGAUACAAAAGCAGUGUUCAACUUCACAUAUUACUGACUCUUAAACAUUCACAGAGCCAAAAGUGAUGUCCCCUGUGCACCCUUUUUUGACAUAUAUCAAUUAUCAUAGCAUUACUGUAAUUUGUGGGGGCAGUUCUAUAUUCUUAGCAGUGUGAAUGCAAAGUUUAGGCAUUUCUUGAUAAUUUAGCAUUAUAUAAGAAACCCUGGACAAUUUAAAAUCCACUGUUUGCAUUUUUUUCUGAAGUUGCCAAUUUUCAAGAUUAAAAGUGGAAACAUCAAUUUUAUUGCUUCUUAAGCUCUUAAGUUUACCUAAAUAUGUAAUGUUCACUAGUAAAUAUUGUGUACUUAAAAGAAUUUUACUUACCAAGAACAUAUUCUAUGAAUAAAUAUUUUGAUACAAUUUGUCCCCUGUGCACCCUUUUUAGUAACAUUAUAAAGUAUGUAUGAAUUUUACUAUUCCAUUUUAUCAUGCAUGGCAUUUUGUCAUUUUCCUACUAUGAAUAAGCAUUGCAUGUAAACUAAAUGAUUUCAAUGUGUUAGUUAUGUAUAAAGUCACUUAUUUUUCAUUUAAAGCAUUACAUUCUGUUGAAUUUUCAUGUUUUUGUAGUGAAAAUUUUCAGUUUUGUAGUUAUUUUGUGGAAUAAACUAAUUUUUUAAUAGUAUUUGUCUAUAGUUGAUUACCAUUAGUCUUUUUAUGAAUAGAAAACUAAUAAUGGAUGAAUAUUACACUGAUCUUCAGUAUGUGUCCCCUGUGCAUCUGUAAAAUAACUCAAUUUUGAGUUAACAAUUCUAGAAAUUAGAACUACUGGACAUUCUUGAAAUUUGGCAUGUGGUUUAUUAACAUGCAAAGUGUGAGAAAAAAAUAGGUUUUAUAAUUUUAGGUUAGUUAUUUUGCAUUCAGCAACAACUUUUCUAGGAAAAGUUUUAUUUUCAUGUCAGAUUUGUGCAGAAAGAGUGAUUUUAAAAACUAAUGUCCACAAACAUAUGAUUAAAUAAGUUUCAAACCAUACACACACACCCAUUACUUAUCAUUUAUGUUGAAAAAAUUACUGUUAUACAUAUUUCCUAGUCAUAAAACCAUGCAACAUUUAUCACCCAUCUUACUGGAAAUUUACUGAACUUUCAAAUUAAAGACUGAAAUAUUUUCUGAUUGGCAUUUCUCAACACUUUCCUAAAGUUAUUUCCUUCAAAUUUGAAGUAUUUGCUAUCAUAAAAAAUAGGUGACCACCAUAAGAAAUCAGUUUGAAUUUUCAACCCCAAUGUCACACUUUUGCUUCAUUAUUUUGAAAACCACCCAUAUAUUUGUUUUAAACUUUACCAGAUUGACGUAGUGCCCUUUUCAUUAUAAGCAUGUUCAAAGGCGCUUAAUAUAAAGAUCAUAACAGAAAUUCUAUGCAGUAAUUUUCAAAACAUCUGUUGGCAGUCUGAAAUUAAUUCAAGUAUGAUGAAUGUACCUUAGAAUAACAUGGCUGACUAGGGCUCUUUGUAUCUUUUCAUAAUAGAAAUUUGAAUUGUAUAUUUACAUACUUUGGAUUUUUACUGGCCACAGUUUAAGUGUUAUUAAAAAUAUCAUAGGACAGUAUAUUAUAAUAGAGCAAAACUGUAGCGCAGUAUGCAGGGUUCUAGCCAGGCUAUUAUCGCCUGUCGCGUGCAACAUGCCUUCAGGCUUUGAGUUGUCUAUUCGACAUCCCUUAUUUCCCCCGUCAUCCCUUAAUUGCCAAAGAGACAUGUCUUAAACGCAUUCCAAUAAACACCUCGAUUAAUUCGAUAGUGUAUAUGAAAGUUUACCACGUGCUCACCCGAUAGUUCAUGUAAAGCGAUGUCAGUCAACUUAAGAUAUACGAUAAACCAAUGACAGCUUCCUAUGUAGAAACGUGUGACGUAAAUUUCAUCGUAGCUCCGCCUUUAAAUCCUUUGACAGACGGUAUCUUGUGAUGUGUACAUGAAAGUGUUUUAAGAUUUUUUAUGUAAUCAGAAAUAAUGACAGAUGACUUUCAACAAUUAUUGUCCGAAUGUUUUUCGCAAUCAAGGAAAGACAAGGGAAGGUACUAAGUCAAAAAUUGUGCAACACAUUAAAAUGAUUUUGAACAAUUCUUGGCAUAAUAUUAAUGUUUUUCACAUGUAUGAAUUGUGUUUUCUCGGAUGGAAUAUCGAAAAGACAAUGCCAGAAUUAAUGUUUUCUGUCGUCACUUUCAAAAUAGAACUUGACAUGUAGAGAAAAGUUUGAAAUAUUGUGGAUUUAUUACUUAAUUAUUGAUGAUGCCUGGAAAUAAACGUAAAACAGAGAGUGGGACAUUGUUAAGUAUGAACUGUUUUGAGAAGAAAGAGAACAGUGUUUACUGUUGGUGACUCAGUAAUAGAGGAGCAGUGAGAUGUGAAAAGCGAGACGAAUCUGUGAAUGACAUUCUUCCUGGACCAGGUACACCUGAGAAAACGGUCACAAAUUCAGAAUCCCACCCAGCCACGCCAGAUGGCCAAAGGAAAUCAGGCAUUGAUCCAAAAUGGAAACAAGCGUUUCCCUGGAUGACAGUCUCAGAGAAUGGCAAAGGUAUGUUGUGUUCAGUAUGUGUAAAGCACCAGAGAAGACCAAAGAAGUGUGUUCCGGAUAGAGCCGUGUGGGUGGACAUUCCAUGUACUUCAAUAAGGCGAUCAUCUUUAUUAAAUCAUAAGGACUCGGACUCGCACAAGAAAGCAGUGGUAUUUGAAGUUGCAGAAGCAAAAACAGGUGGUGGGAUCGAGGCUUGUUUUGUGAGGGAAGAAAACAUGUGAACCGUGAGGCAAUGACAGUAUCUGUGGCACUGCUUUACUUUCCUUGAUGGAGGAAAUUCCCCACACCACCAAACACAAACCUUUAGUUGAUGUAGCUAAGACAUUAGGAAUGGAUGUUCUAAAAAGUUUGGAGAAGGGGGAUAACGCCAAGAACACAAAAUUGAUACGUUUACGUUGUCAUUCAGCAAAUAAAUUCCACAGGAAUAGAAGACUGAAACUUUAAUGUGCAGUGCUAAAAUUGUGUUGUUGUAUUUAAAGUAAAAUAAAUAGUGAACAUUUUCAGAAACUUAAAAUGGAUAAGUUUACACUGUCAUUCAGCAAAUAAACUCCAGAGGAAUUUUUUAUGACACAUUAUCUCUAUUUGUUCUUGUUGAGCAUGUAAAUGAUGCUUAUUAAACAUUGAAAAUAACACUAUGUUUUUCACUCUGAAAUGCACCAGAAUGCACCAAAAUGAGUUGUAGUAAUACAAAUUUUUCUGGGGGUGACCCCCAUACCCCCCAACCCCUUUGUCGUCUACGCUCUUUUCAAAAAUACCCUUCAGCAACAUGCCUUCAGAAAAUCCUGGCUAGAACCCUGAUAUGCAUCAUAAUAUAUUAAAAUAACUAUCUGAAAGUGAACUCCAUCAUACAGCUGUACAUGUUUCUAUGUGCCAGUCUGCUAAAAAGUUUUAAUACUAAAAUUAACACGGAUAAAUUUCAAUAAACUUCACUUGAAUUAGCUGCUGUUGUUAGAGGUAUAAUUAAGUCGUGCCAUGAGAAAACCAACAUAGUGCGUUUGCGGCCAGCAUGGAUCCAGACCAGCCUGUGCAUCCGCACAGUCUGGUCAGGAUCCAUGCUAUUGGAUUUCAAACCUAUUGCAUUUAUAGAAACUGUUAGCUAACAGCAUAGAUCCUGACCAGGCUGUGUGUAUGCGCAGGCUGGUCUGGAUCUAUGCUGGUCACAAGUGCGCCAUGUGGGUUUUCUCAUGGUGUGGCUCAGUUAUAUCCAUUAACAUGUGGGCAGGUAUACACAAGUAAUCCAGUAACCUGUCUGGUUAUCAGUCAGUAACAUGCCACUGAUUUGCUCUAACAAAUCUAUAUGUAGAUGCACAAAAAGUAAGUUGUGAUUUUGUUAUCUUUGUGCUUUAUUGUCUGCAAAGGAACAUGGUUUUCUUCCAACUGCUGUAUUACAAAGAACACAAGGUAUAUGACAUACAGAGUAACCUUGAUAGAAAGCUCUUUUUUUUAGUGUUCUUUAAAAGUACAGUUAUUUACAUCACUAAAAAUGCAAAACACACGGUGCUAGGAUUUGUCAGUUUGCGGAUUGUUUAUGCAGAUUGUUUAAAUGAUAGCUGCUGCAUAGAGUGAUUGUUAAAUAGCAGUUCAAAGAUAUUUAUUUUUCCUUUUGAAUGCAUACAUUUUGUAUCCUUUGUACAUGUAAAUGGGCUUCGGUUAUACUAUAUUGAUGAUUAAAGAAAAAGUAAAAAUCAAGAUUAUAUGAGUCGUGCCAUGAGAAAACCAACAUAGUGGCUUUGCGACCAGCAUGGAUCCAGACCAGCCUGCGCAUCCGCGCAGUCUGGUCAGGAUCCAUGCUGUUCGCUAACAGUUUCUCCAAUUCCAAUAGGCUUUAAAAGCGAACAGCAUGGAGCCUGACCAGACUAUGUUGGUUUUCUCAUGGCACGGCUCAUAUAUUUAUUUUCAG